UGCCAUAAAGUAUUUAAUAAAAAAAUUAUUAAGUUUAACUAAAAAUUAAAAAUUAAUUAGAAUCAAACUAUUAAAAGAUUUAAAUAAAUAAAAACUGAAAAUAUUUUAUAAACUUAAUUUAAGUUAAGAUUUUAAUCUUUUACCUUUUGUAUCAGGGCUAAUUAAAAAUAAUAUAGAAUUUAAUAUCUCGAAAUUUACUAACAUAUAAAAAUUUUAAUAUUGUUUCCAUUUAAAAGGUAAAAUUAAUAAAUUUUUAGAUUCUACAUAAACUCAUGUUUUAAAUAUCUAGUUAUUAAAUAAAAUAAUUCAAUUAAAUAUCGUUUUAUAACUAUAUAAUUUAUAUUAUACAUUUAAACAAUAAAAAUCUUUAAAAGUUAAGUAUUAAAGUAAGAUAAAUUUACACAGAAUUAUAUAACUAAAUAAAAUUAACAAUCUUUAAUUUUAAAAUAUAUAAAAAUAUAAAAAUUUAAAGUUUAUAUUUUAGAAAAAAUUAUUUUAAUAUUUAAUUAAAUAUGAACGUUAACUGAUAAACUAAAAUGAUUAGAUUAAUAUACAAUUUAAGUUUAAAUUAAUAACUAGGCAAAUUAUUAGUUUCCACCUGUUUACCAAAAACAUAGUCUAAAGAAAAAAAUUUUAGAUAAGUUCUGCUCAAUGACAAUAUUUUAAAUAGCUGCAGUAAAUUAACUGUACUAAGGUAGCAUAAUAAGUUGCUUUGUAAUUUAAAGCUUGAAUGAAAGAAACCAUGUGAAACGAACUUUUUUAACUAAAAUAGUACAAAUUAAUGUUUAAGUGAAAAAUCUUAAAUUAAACCAAAAGACAAGAAGACCCUUUAGAACUUUACAAAAUAAAUCAACCAAAAUGAGGUUUUUUGUUAAAUUGGGGAGAUUUUUAAAUCACCAAAUCUUUAAAUACUAUAAAAUGAAUUAACUCAAAUUAUAUUAUCCAUACAUGAAAUAAAAUAAGUUACCUAAGGGAUAACAGCGUAAAAUUUUUGAAAAGAUCACAUUCUCAAAAUAAAUUACGACCUCGAUGUUGGAUUAAGAAUAACCUAUAAAGAAAAAUUUAUAGGAAUUGGUCUGUUCGCCCAAAUUACUCUUACAUGAUCUGAGUUCAGACCGGCGUGAGCCAGGUCAGUUUAUAUCUUUGGUUAUAUAAUUCUAUACUACAGUACGAAAGGAUCUAGAAAAGUAAAUUUUUU
rnacentral:rRNA from 1 species